GCUAUGGGUUAGUAAUAUAAGGCUAUGGGUUAGUAAUAUAAGGCUAUGGGUUAGUAAUAUAAGGCUAUGGGUUAGUAAUAUAAGGCUAUGGGUUAGUAAUAUAAGGCUAUGGGUUAGUAGUAUAAGGCUAUGGGUUAGUAGUAUAAGGCUAUGGGUUAGUAAUAUAAGGCUAUGGGUUAGUAGUAUAAGGCUAUGGGUUAGUAAUAUAAGGCUAUGGGUUAGUAGUAUAAGGCUGUGGGUUAGUAAUAUAAGGCUAUGGGUUAGUUUAAAAAUAAAGGAAAACAAGUUAAAGUUACAGACAAAGUGCACCAGCGAACACAAAGAUAUUGCGGACACGUAUGGAGAAUGUCACACACCAGCCCGACCUGCAUUUCUUCUUUUCAAUUUCAACUUUCUACCUUUUUCUCAAUGUCUGCUAAGUUUACAAAAUGUUGAUAAUAAAGUAAUUAUUUGAG
ensembl:lncRNA